UGGCUGUAUCACGUUGAAACACCGGUUCUCGUACGAUCACCGAAGGUAAGCAGCGUCAAAACUGGUAAGUACCUCGUUGGGCGACCGCUUCGGAAUACCUGGUGC